rnacentral:tRNA from 1 species
UCCCUGCUAGGUCAGUGAUAAAGGAUCUGCCUCCAACACAGGAAACCCAGGUUUAAUUCCUGGGUAGGGAA